GACAGAGGGUGCAAACGUUGUUCGGAAUUACUGGGCGUAAAGCGCGUGUAGGCGGCCAUCUAAGUCGGGCGUGAAAUCCCACGGCUCAACCGUGGAAGUGCACUCGAAACUGGAUGGCUAGAGUCCUGGAGAGGAAGGUGGAAUGCUUGGUGUAGAGGUGAAAUUCGUAGAUAUCAAGCGGAACACCGGUGGCGAAGGCGGCCUUCUGGACAGUGACUGACGCUGAGACGCGAAAGCGGUGGGGAGGCAAA
rnacentral:rRNA from 1 species